rnacentral:rRNA from 1 species
UGGGGAAUCUUCGGCAAUGGGCGCAAGCCUGACCGAGCCAUGCCGCGUGAGUGAAGAAGGCCUUAGGGUUGUAAAGCUCUUUCAGCGGGGACGAUAAUGACGGUACCCGCAGAAGAAGCCCCGGCUAACUUCGUGCCAGCAGCCGCGGUAAUACGAAGGGGGCUAGCGUUGUUCGGAAUUACUGGGCGUAAAGCGCGUGUAGGCGGAUCUUCAAGUCAGGGGUGAAAUCCCGGGGCUCAACCUCGGAACUGCCUUUGAUACUGUUGAUCUGGAGUCCGGAAGAGGUUGGUGGAAUUCCGAGUGUAGAGGUGAAAUUCGUAGAUAUUCGGAGGAACACCAGAGGCGAAGGCGGCCAACUGGUCCGGUACUGACGCUGAGACGCGAAAGCGUGGGGAGCAAACAGG